rnacentral:misc_RNA from 1 species
GAACUACUUAACUCGACCUAUUCACAGUGUCCACUAGAGAUACAAAUGUUGUUCUAGUAAUAAGUUUGCUUUAAUAUAGAUGGUUGUCCACCAGUAUGAAAAAUAUAAGUAAUAAAGUGAUGCGAAAUUUAUUGUCUCUAAUAAUACGAACGAAAGGUAUUAUUUAGGUAACAGUGGCAAGAGUGUGUACGAUAACAUCCAACUGGUAAAUACAGUACAUGCCAGCGCUUAAUACAGGUUGUGUGUGAUCUCAGACUUCUUCGCCAUUACAUAAAUGCGGAACUUCAUAAAAAAAUGAUUUACCGUAAAUUUUCAGUAUAUUUUAAAUAAAUAUUUUUAAGUUUUGUACAUUUAUCUUCUAAAAUAACGCCAAAGUUUCUAGGAAAAAAUGCUUAGAUUAAAAAAAUGACUACCUGCGCUAAUGUAGGCUACACAAACGAAUAAUUAAGUCAAAUUCUCAAGGAUUCGUACGAUAUAUUUUAUCCAGUAACUCGUAUAAAUGAGUGUCAUAACAAACAACAACAACAUUAAUAGGUAUCACAACAAACACCAUUAAUGAAUAUCAACAAAUACAACCAAAAAUACAACCAUAUCUUUACCAACAAAACACAACAACACCGACCUUAACAUCAUUAGGCGUGUCACAACAAAUAUAUCCAGAAGGUUUACCAACAAUAACAACAACAAAGACGAACAGCAUAGUACAGCAUUGUACAGUAAAUUAUUAUAUAGCAGAAGACAGCAGAAAUAUAACAGGACAGAAGACACAGAAACAGCAGUCGCAACAAAUAGAAACUAGUCUGUCUGUGGCCCGUUAAUUGAGGUCUCCAAAUCACUUAAUGAUACAGCAAUUAAAGCAGUUGUGAAUGGACUCAGUGAUCACGCGCCGACGAAUGUAAUUGACGAGCCCUGCCUCUAUACUGAACUCGAAUGAGAUUUUUUUUCCCUACGUACACUGUGCGCGCUGGUUGAGUUUUUAUAACGAACGGAUGUUUAUGUUUAUAACAUGUAUUCGUAGUGAAGUUCUGCAUGGGAAAUGUUUAAAAUUUAUAAUCUAAUUUUAUGUCUAGAUGUUUAAUUAGAUGCGUACUCAAGUUUUAUGUGGGAAUGUAUCCGUAUUUUUGUUCUCGGUAAAGCGACAACCCUGUUUAUCACUAUCAUUUCAUUAUCAUUUUACCUGUAGGGCAUUCAGACAUUCAUGAAAACAAAGAUAUUAACUUAAAAAAAAAAAUACAUCACCGGCCAGACGCUAAAACAAUAGUGACCAUGACAAACAAUAAAACAGCCUAAUCAUAAAUACAUCCUAUUAGAAACAUUUAAAACAAACACAAAAGAGAGGAUUAUUAACUUUAAAACAUGGAAGGGGAGAAGAGCAGUACCAAUGAUUCCCUCCCAGGCAGCCUGCUGAGUCAGGUUAGCAGGAAAAGCAGUAUGAUCAGUAGGGUGAGCAGGAGAAGCAGUGAAGCCAGCAGCAUCAGCACCACCAGCAGUAACAUAAACAUAGAUGAUUUGUCUCUGUUGUCCGAGUCCUUCCCGGCUAGACUAUGGCAACGCUGGAUAGGCCUUCCGAUGCCACUAGGAAAAAUGUCAGAUUACGGCUUUGAGGAGGACGACAGCGGGGGUCUUGGCGGCCACCAGACAGACGCUGGUCAGAACUACAUCACCGUCAUCCCCGUCGAAUACCCCACCAGGAGACCCUACCCUGACUACGAUGCCUUCCCUAGGUCGGCUACCAUCUCAAGGACUCGGAGGCGUCCACGCGGUGAAACAGAUGCUUUCCCACGAUCUGCCACCAUCUCUAGGGAGUUCCUGCGGGAGAGGGCGGCGGCGGACUUCCUUCGCGGGGACUACAAGGGCAGCGCCGAUCACCUGGACAAGACAGCUGGUUUCUACCCUGGUCUCCCACCCCCUGCCUUCGACGUGCCGUCCCUCUCACUAGACCCCGAGACCAGACGACCCUCCACCCACAUGAUGGCCACCCCUCCGCAGACCACCACCGCCCCCACCAACCUGCCCAGCCACACCCUCCCCACCACUACCACCAGCGUCACCCACCCCUCCGUGCCACAACCCAUCUCGCACACGGAAGACUUCGACAAGGCGAAUAACAAGAGCGACCACGAGAGGAAAAGUAACAAAGGUCGGUCGUCGGGCGGGGUGGAGGUGUGUGUAUUCCUGCAUUCCCGAGUGGCGGUGAGACUACGGCUGGAUGACGGCGCCAGGAUCACCGCCCAGGAGCUCCAGGCCAUGGUCAUAGAGGAGGAGGACGUCUCCCUACCCAAGCAGGCCAUGGAGGUCUUCGCUAUCUGGAUGGUGUCUCCUGUAUUAGAGAUCCAACUGAAACCGUACCAGCGCGCACUCGAGGUACGGCGGCAAUGGGGAGAAUUAUUGAAGCGCUUUGCACAGAUCUCUAUCAAACCACAAGACGCCCGCUACGCCCACGAACCCAAGAUGGUGCUCAGGAGGAACGUCUUCUUCAGCAAGAGAGACGAAGUCAAGAUCAGAGACGCCAAGAUCCUGGAGCUGUUGUACGAGGAGGCACAGUGGAACAUGCGGUCGGCGCGCUACCCCUGUGAACUCUCAGAUUACGAAAUGUUGGCGGGGAUUCAGAGUAGGCUGGAGCUGGGCCCAUAUGACCACACCACUCACACUCCCUCCUUCUUCAGACGUCGACUCCUGGAUUACCUGCCGGAGCAUGCAUGUCGUCUCAAAUUCAGUGACCUGGUCAGCUUCAGUAGUAAAUCAACACCUGAAAUCCGUAUCAUCGAGCAGUUCCGCUCCAUCCCUAGCAACGUGACGGCCCGCAAGCUGGUCAGGAAGUACCUCGAGUUCUCCUGGUCCCUUCCCUACUAUGGGAGUGCGUUCUUUCACGGUCAGAUCGAGCAGCCGACACGGGGAGUCAGUUCGUGGCUACCGAGGCCGGAUAUCCCGGUGCUGGUCACCAUUAACGCAACUGGCGUCACCGUUAUAGAUCCCAACAAAUCGAAUGUACUGUUGAGCUUAAGGUACGAUGAAUUGUCAUGGGAUUUCGCGAGACCCAGCAACGAGCGCAGCGCCACUUGCCUUCCCUGCCUCUUCCUACAGUUCGCUGUUGUCGAGAACGGCAGAAGAUACUCCAAACUUCUUCAAAUCUUCUCUAAACAGGCCAUCAUGAUGGAUGCGCUCAUCAGCACCUUUGUGGAGGAACUCAAGCGUAGAGCGGCCCAGUACCCUGACGACUUAGAGGGACACAUGCUGGACCACGGCACCGAGAUUGACGACGUGUUGGUGCCGCUGUCGACCGUAUCGCGGAAGGAGGUGCCAGAGUCGGUCCUGUGCAACAAACUCCAUCGUCUCUCUCUCGCCACCUUCACUGAGGACGGUCGCUGCGUGGGCACCAUGGGGUCGUGGCAGUUCAGCAGAUGAGGGGAUGCCAUCGACUACGUGUGACCAGACACCCGCACCACCACCACCACGCCCACUCUGCCAAACUCCGAGUCAGCCACCUCCUGGACUAUGCCUGCCCCAGAGUCUACGCCACUCCUUCACACCUGACGCCAAUGCUCAGGUGUAUUGACCCCCACGUUCAGCCGCACUGACGCCCAUGUUCAGCCGUAUUUACACCCAAGCCGGUUUUGAAGUCGAAGUUUACCCAUACGGAUUCACGUUAGGACGCACAACCGAUAACCUACCCCUGUGAUCUUAAACCUCAGAUGGAAGAAUGAAUAACAUGAAGAUUAGACAACCCAGCUUAUUUUUCUGGAGCGUCAGUCACAGUGGCUCUCUCCAGGACACAGGAGCCAGGUAGGUGUGUGAUUCGUGUAUCACUCCCAGGUGUGUGGCAGCAAGAACAGCACUUAACAUACACAUAUUUUAGUGACAUCCGUAGGUACCCAUGUUACUCACUUAAGAGCUCAUGUUACACACAAAAGUCGAUAUUACCCACAAGAGCCCACAUUUACUCACAAGAGCCAAUGUUACUCACCAAAGUCAGUAUUACCCACAAGAGCCCAUUUUACCCACAGGAGACCAUGUAACAAUUGUAACAUCAAAACAUUCUUAAUGAUGUCACACCCUUCAUAGAUGGUGUGUCAAUUGGAGGCCAAAGAAAAUAAUAGGUUUUAAGGGGAUUUCAAUUUCCUUCCUCUAUAUUACUUGGUAUGGACCAAUGUAUAUACCAAUGCAGAAAUGUAUACAGACUUUAGCCUCAAGGUAAACAUAAGCAAGAUGCAGAAUAUCUUACAAACUCACCCUGGAUCUAGUCAUUCCUCAUUUCACCUAUGGAAAUCAAUGAGGAGAUCCAACAUUGAAUUGGGUCUGUUUCUCAGGAAU